AAUCCACGCUUCAGACAUUUUCACAUAAAAUCCUUGAAUCUUUCCCAUUCCUCAUGCAAGAUUUCUUCUUUCAAUUGUUUAAAGGAAGUGAGGUCUUUUCGAAGUUU